AGUCCCUGGUCAGGACAGAAUACAGACAACUCACCAUGGAGUUUGAGCUCAGCUGGGUUUUCCUUGUUGCUAUUUUAACAUGUGUCCAGUGUGAGGUGCAGCUGGUAGAGUCUAGGGGAGGUUUGAUGCAGCCUGAAGGGUCUCUGAGACUCUCAGGUGUGGCCUCUGGAUUCACCUUCAGUAGCUCCCUUAAGAGCUGGGUCCACCAUGCUCCAGGGAAGGGUCUGGAGUGGGUUUCUACAAUGAAUACUGAUGGAAAUAUCACAUGCUAUGCCAUCUCUGUGAAAGGCGGAUUCACCAUCUCCAGAGACAAUGGCAAGAACACACUGAUCCUGCAAAUGAUCAGCCUGAGAGCCAAGGACAUGGCCAUGUAGUACUGUG